rnacentral:rRNA from 1 species
CGAGAUACGGCGAGUGAGCGGCAAGAGCUCAAAUUUGAAAGCUGGCUCCUUCGGGGUCCGCAUUGUAAUUUGCAGAGGAUGCUUCGGGAGCGGUCCCCAUCUAAGUGCCCUGGAACGGGACGUCAUAGAGGGUGAGAAUCCCGUAUGGGAUGGGGUGUCCGCGCCCAUGUGAAGCUCCUUCGACGAGUCGAGUUGUUUGGGAAUGCAGCUCUAAAUGGGUGGUAAAUUUCAUCUAAAGCUAAAUAUUGGCCGGAGACCGAUAGCGCACAAGUAGAGUGAUCGAAAGAUGAAAAGCACUUUGAAAAGAGAGUUAAAAAGCACGUGAAAUUGUUGAAAGGGAAGCGCUUGCGAUCAGACUCGCUCGCGGGGUUCAGCCGGCAUUCGUGCCGGUGUACUUCCCCGCGGGCGGGCCAGCGUCGGUUUGGGCGGUCGGUCAAAGGCCCUCGGAAGGUAACGCCCCCUCGGGGGCGUCUUAUAGCCGAGGGUGCAAUGCGACCUGCCUGGACCGAGGAACGCGCUUCGGCUCGGACGCUGGCAUAAUGGUCGUAAGCGACCCGUCUUGA